rnacentral:rRNA from 1 species
AGUGAACGCUGGCGGUAGGCCUAACACAUGCAAGUCGAACGGCAGCACAGUAAGAGCUUGCUCUUACGGGUGGCGAGUGGCGGACGGGUGAGGAAUACAUCGUAAUCUACUUUUUCGUGGGGGAUAACGUAGGUAAACUUACGCUAAUACCGCAUACGACCUACGGGUGAAAGCAGUGGAUCUUCUGACCUUGCGCGAUUGAAUGAGCCGAUGUCGGAUUAGCUAGUUGGCGGGGUAAAGGCCCACCAAGUCGACGAUCCGUAGCUCGUGUGAGAGGAUGAUCAGCCACACUGGAACUGAGACACGGUCCAGACGCCUACGGGAGGCAGCAGUGGCGAAUAUUGGACAAUGGGCGCAAGCCUGAUCCAGUCAGAGCGAGUGGGUGACGACGGCCUUCGGGUUGUAAAGACCUUUUGUUGGGUAAGAAAAGCAGUAGGUUAAUACCAAGCUGUUGUGACGGUACCCAAAGAAUAAGCACCGGCUAACUUCGUG